rnacentral:rRNA from 1 species
UACGUAGGGUGCAAGCGUUUGUCCGGAAUUAUUGGGCGUAAAGAGCUCGUAGGCGGUCUGUCGCGUCGGAUGUGAAAAUCCAGGGCUCAACCCUGGACCUGCAUUCGAUACGGGCAGACUAGAGUUCGGUAGGGGAGACUGGAAUUCCUGGUGUAGCGGUGAAAUGCGCAGAUAUCAGGAGGAACACCGGUGGCGAAGGCGGGUCUCUGGGCCGAAACUGACGCUGAGGAGCGAAAGCGUGGGGAGCAAACAGG